rnacentral:rRNA from 1 species
UACAGAGGGUGCAAGCGUUAAUCGGAAUUACUGGGCGUAAAGCGUGCGUAGACGGUUAUUUAAGUCAGGUGUGAAAGCCCCGGGCUCAACCUGGGAAUUGCAUUUGAGACUGAAUAGCUAGGGUGCGGAAGAGGGAAGCGGAAUUUCCGGUGUAGCGGUGAAAUGCGUAGAUAUCGGAAGGAACACCAGUGGCGAAAGCGGCUUCCUGGUCCAGCACCGACGUUCAGGCACGAAAGCGUGGGAGCAAACAGG